rnacentral:sRNA from 1 species
AGCAGCCGCGGUAAUUCCAGCUCCAAUAGCGUAUAUUAAAGUUGUUGCAGUUAAAAAGCUCGUAGUUGAAUUUCGGGAUCAGUACGCUGGUCGUGCCUUGUGUAUGUACUGGUGUCACUGGUUCCUACCUUCUGACGAACCGUCAUGUCAUUAAUUUGGUGUGGCGGGGAAUCAGGACUGUUACUUUGAAAAAUUAGAGUGUUUAAAGCAGGCUCGCGCUUGAAUACAUUAGCAUGGAAUAAUGAAAUAGGACGUUCGAUCCUAUUUUGUUGGUUUCUAGGAUUGACGUAAUGAUUAAUAGGGAUAGUUGGGGGCAUUAGUAUUCAAUUGUCAGAGGUGAAAUUCUUGGAUUUAUUGAAGACUAACUACUGCGAAAGCAUUUGCCAAGGAUGUUUUCAUUAAUCAAGAACGAAAGUUAGGGGAUCGAAGACGAUCAGAUACCGUCGUAGUCUUAACC